CACAAAAAAAGAAAACACCUGGUUCGAGUAUAUGGCAUAAUUUUACUUUCACAUUAUUCAGUACAGAGUAAAUUUAAUCUAACACAGGUAUCUGACAGGUUGAACAGCGAUACACCGGGGCUGCAUUAGCUAGCGGAUACUGCAUGGACACGCACACACAGAAACACACACACGCGCCAUGACUGUGACUCUAAUCAACUACAAUGACCAUGUCCCCAGUACUGCAUCACUGCAUCGAGGGAAGCGUGACCCCCAGCUGAACUAAUAUGACAAUGUCGCAUAAAUUCCAUUAUAUUUUUCACAUGGAUCACACAGAAUAACACCACACUCGCUCACCAAACAACGCUGACCAAAAUCGUUAUGAUCCCUGUACGUGAUUGACAGUUGGCAGCUGCUUUGGUCCAGUGCUCCCCCUUAAGCCCCCGUCCUCUAAGCCUAAGAAUGUGUGUACAACUGCGUGCCUGUGACUUUUCACAAACUAAGUGCUUUCCAGGUUUUAUCGCUGCAAAAAAAAAUAUGGGUCUCCAGCUGUGGCCACUCAAAGUUAAUAAUAUGCGUGUUGUGUAAGGAUUUAGUAAUGAGGUAACCACUAUCUACUAUUCAUUUCAGCCAAUAACUGUGCUGGAAGAUGUUGUCCUCCAGAUGUUUUUUUUAAAAACAAUAUUCCAAAAAAAGAAA